UACGGAGGGUGCAAGCGUUAUUCGGAAUUACUGGGCGUAAAGCGCGUGUAGGCGGGAAGGUAAGUCUGAUGUGAAAGCCCUGGGCUCAACCCAGGAAGUGCAUUGGAAACUGUCAGACUUGAAUACGGGAGAGGGUAGUGGAAUUCCUAGUGUAGGAGUGAAAUCCGUAGAUAUUAGGAGGAACACCGGUGGCGAAGGCGGCUACCUGGACCGAUAUUGACGCUGAGACGCGAAAGCGUGGGUAGCAAACAGGAUUAGAAACCCGGGUAGU
rnacentral:rRNA from 1 species